AGGACGAACGCUGGCGGCGUGCUUAACACAUGCAAGUCGAGCGAGGCCCUGUCUUCGGACAGGUGCCCUAGCGGCGAACGGGUGAGUAACACGUGGGCAACCUGCCCCUAGCACUGGGAUAACUCCGGGAAACCGGGGCUAAUACCGGAUAUGACCUCCGAGGGCAUCCUCGUUGGUGUAAAGGAUUCUGGCUAGGGAUGGGCCCGCGGCCUAUCAGCUUGUUGGUGGGGUAAUGGCCUACCAAGGCGACGACGGGUAGCCGGCCUGAGAGGGCGACCGGCCACACUGGGACUGAGACACGGCCCAGACUCCUACGGGAGGCAGCAGUGGGGAAUAUUGCACAAUGGGCGAAAGCCUGAUGCAGCGACGCCGCGUGAGGGAUGGACGGCCUUCGGGUUGUAAACCUCUUUCAGCUCCGACGAAGCGAAGUGACGGUAGGAGCAGAAGAAGCACCGGCCAACUACGCGCCAGCAGCCGCGGUA
rnacentral:rRNA from 1 species